ensembl:lncRNA
CCUGGGGGGAAAGAGACGAGCAUAGGUUCCUCCCAAGAUGCCACCCGCUUCAUUCAAGUGUCUGGCAGCACUGUGUUCCUGUUAGAGCCACCAGCACAAGCACCAGACGAUGCUGAUCCAGGUGAAGGCCCCAGUGCAGCAGCAACAGCACAUGAUGGAGACGAUGAUGAGGAGGAGACCAUCUCUCUGGAUUCCAGAAGGCAUGAGGACCCAGAUGCUAUACAGUGGGAAAACCAGCCUGGCAACAUAGUGCGUAUUAAUAAAAGGACACCACAUCCUGCCAAAUUCCAGCUGCGCUAAUUGUAUUGUGUUCACAGAGCUCACAAGCUAUCAGAAAGUUGUAUGGCAACCACCUCCGGCGCCAAAUAGAACUGGCAGACAUAGACAUUCAGUACAAGAAGAAAAAGAUGGAAAAUCUUGCACUGGAGUUCGAAAUAAAAAAGAGGACAAUUAGGAAACUG